rnacentral:rRNA from 1 species
UACGUAGGGUCCAAGCGUUAUCCGGAAUUACUGGGCGUAAAGCGUGUGUAGGCGGCGCGUUAAGUGCAACGCGAAAUCCUGUGGCUCAACCAUAUGGACUGUGUUGCAUACUGGCGUGCUUGAGGAUGGCAGAGGCAAGUGGAAUUUGUAGUGUAGCAGUGAAAUGCGUAGAUAUUACAAGGAACACCAAAUGGCGAAGGCAGCUUGCUGGGCCAUAUCUGACGCUGAGACACGAAAGCGUGGGGAGCGAACAGG